GCCUGGGUGGCGGAACUGGCAGACGCACCGGACUUAAAAUCCGGAGCCCCGCAAGGGGCGUAGGGGUUCGAUUCCCCUCCCAGGCA
rfam:Acidobacteria bacterium 13_1_40CM_56_16 13_1_40cm_scaffold_609, whole genome shotgun sequence.